GUGUUUGCUUUGGCAGCACAUAUACUAAAAUUGGAAUGAUACAGGGAAGGAUUAGUAUGGCCCUUGCGCAAGGGUGACACGCAAAUUAGUGCAGAAAUACAACUGAUA